CUACAACGGGUGGAGCCUGCGGUUUAAUUGGACUCAACGCCGGAAAACUCACCGGGGGCGACAGCAAUAUGUAGGUCAAGCUAAAGACUUUACCAGAAUCGCUGAGAGGAGGUGCAUGGCCGUCGUCAGUUCGUACUGUGAAGCAUCCUGUUAAGUCAGGCAACGAGCGAGACCCGUGCCCACUGUUGCCAGCAUGUCCUUCGGGAUGAUGGGUACUCUGUGGGGACCGCCGAUGCUAAAUCGGAGGAAGGUGCGGGCUACGGUAGGUCAGUAUGCCCCGAAUCUCCCGGGCUACACGCGGGCUACAAUGACUGGGACAAUGGGCCCCUACCCCGAAAGGGGACGGUAAUCUCAUAAACCCAGCCGUAGUUCGGAUCGAGGGCUGAAACCCGCCCUCGUGAAGCUGGAAUCCGUAGUAAUCGCGUUUCAACAUAGCGCGGUGAAUACGUCCCUGCUCCUU
rnacentral:rRNA from 1 species